AACGAACGCUGGCGGCAUGCCUAACACAUGCAAGUCGAACGAGAUCUUCGGGUCUAGUGGCGCACGGGUGCGUAACGCGUGGGAAUCUGCCCAUUGGUUCGGAAUAACAGUUGGAAACGACUGCUAAUACCGGAUGAUGACGAAAGUCCAAAGAUUUAUCGCCAGAGGAUGAGCCCGCGUAGGAUUAGCUAGUUGGUGUGGUAAAGGCGCACCAAGGCGACGAUCCUUAGCUGGUCUGAGGGGAUGAUCAGCCACACUGGGACUGAGACACGGCCCAGACUCCUACGGGAGGCAGCAGUGGGGAAUAUUGGACAAUGGGCGAAAGCCUGAUCCAGCAAUGCCGCGUGAGUGAUGAAGGCCUUAGGGUUGUAAAGCUCUUUUACCCGGGAUGAUAAUGACAGUACCGGGAGAAUAAGCUCCGGCUAACUCCGUGCCAGCCGCCGCAGUAA
rnacentral:rRNA from 1 species